AAAGUAGACUACUUUAUCGCAUUUAUUUAUAUUUUAAAUAAAAUGAGGAAAGUCCGGACACAUUAAGGGAACACAUCGGGUAAUAACCGUCCAUCGUAAGAUGAGGAAUUGUGCAACAGAAAUAAAGUACAGUUUGGCUGUAGUGAAAUAUUGUAAACUCUGUGUUGUGAAAUGCCAUGUAUACCAGAUACUUUUUUUUAAAAAAAGUGUAGUUUUCCCUUUAACUAUUAAUUUGGGGGGUGGGCAGAUAUAGGUAAAAGGUAACUUUUAUCACAGAUAAAUGAUAAAAAAAAUAUUAAAUAACAUAAUCCGGCUUAUUAGUAUGUU
rnacentral:RNase_P_RNA from 1 species